rnacentral:misc_RNA from 1 species
CCUGGCUUACCUCCUCAGUUAUAUGUCAAGGCUUGUAUCGCCUAGAGCGUAUUGUUGGCUUUCUGUAUUGGAUACCUAAUCGAAGGUAUUAUUUUGAUCGAUCGGAGUCCCUUUUCGUCUUGUGUUGCAUUUUGUGUCGCAUGAUGAACUUUGAAGCGGUCUCUAUGAUCCAUCACGUUGAUGCACUUGCAUUGAUGUUGUGGCCCAUUGAGCUUUGUUUGGUUUCUUGGAUAUGGAACAUGAAGUGGGCAUGGGGCUGUCAUGAUCCUCUUUUUGCCCUCGUAUGGUGUUCUCGAACGACGGGUCAUGCGCGCCUAGGCUCGUA